AACGAACGCUGGCGGCAUGCCUAACGCAUGCAAGUCGAACGAGACCUUCGGGUCUAGUGGCGCACGGGUGCGUAACGCGUGGGAACCUGCCCUUAGGUUCGGAAUAACUCCCCGAAAGGGGUGCUAAUACCGGAUAAUGUCUUCGGACCAAAGAUUUAUCGCCUUUGGAUGGGCCCGCGUUGGAUUAGCUAGUUGGUAGGGUAAAAGCCUACCAAGGCGACGACCCAUAGCUGGUCUGAGAGGAUGAUCAGCCACACUGGGACUGAGACACGGCCCAGACUCCUACGGGAGGCAGCAGUGGGGAAUAUUGGACAAUGGGCGAAAGCCUGAUCCAGCAAUGCCGCGUGAGUGAUGAAGGCCUUAGGGUUGUAAAGCUCUUUUACCCGGGAUGAUAAUGACAGUACCGGGAGAAUAAGCUCCGGCUAACUCCGUG
rnacentral:rRNA from 1 species